CGGCACGGAGGCGGCGCCUCACCGGGCGCGGGGGUGUCACGGGGGGUCCCGAGGCGUCCCGGAGCCGCAGUGCCCAGCGCUGGGCUCGUCCCCCUUUCCCGGUGCGGGUGCCCUGAGCGAUGGCUCCCGGUGGCGAAUCUGCGGGGCGGGGGCUGCGGGCGCCUCGCGCCUCCUGCGCUCCGGCGCCUUUCUCCCCUCGCGGGAGCGCGCGCGGCCCCCGAGGCGCUUCUUGGCGCCUUUUUUUCCCCCCUCACGACGAGCGCGCGCUUCCCCUGAGGCGCCUCGGGCUGCCCUGAGGGAAACGCUGCGGGGUCGGGUCCGAGCCCGGAUAAAUCCCCGAAAAAUCCCCGAAAAGGCAGCGGUGGAGGCGGGUGAACCCUCUGUGUGCUCAGUGCGGUGCCAAAACGGCGGCGAUUGAGCAGGGCAGGACGAGCCCUGAGGGCAGCGGGAACGUGUCCGUGACAGGGCGAGCGGGAGAAGGCCACAGGAAGGGGAUGGAGCGAGGGAUGGCUGGGACAGGCAGCGAUGUGGACCCUGGGUUAUAAAUACACGAUAUAUGGUGAUUGUGAACUAAAUCAGCCUGACCAACUCCAAACACUCUGCUGCUGAAUCACACGGGGUCGUAAAAUACCCAGUGGUCUGGGAGCAGUGGAAUUGUCCACAGUUCCUUGCAGAAAUCAGCAAAGGUACCACACACAGAGGUAAAAACUAGAAGUAACAAACCCGGUAAACCCUGUGGCUCUGAGGGGGUGAGGAGGAUUCAGACCCCAGCAUUCAGCACAGGAGCCUUUUACACUGGAAAUUGUCCAAGUGACUGAAUGAAAUACGACAACUUCGGCAGUGGAAAUUGAAAGCCUGAUGUCGAAAGUUUUACUUUUAAAUUGAAGGUGUGACGCUGAAAUUUAGUGUUUGUUAUUGAAAUGCUGUCACGUGGCCAGUGAGGUACAUUCCCAGACAUUCGUGAAGGAGGAUCAUGAAUGAAGGUGGAUUUGAAGGAAAGCCAAGGGGAUGGGACAUGCCUAACCCCAAAGGACGGCAGAAGGUGAAAAGAAUUAAAACUAAUUCAACAUGAUACCAUGUUGCUUCAAGUUGGGGCCGUUUUCUCUGGAUGCCUACAGUUGCAUUAGGCCAGUUUGCUUUCAUUCUUAAAUAAACUUAUUUUUAUGGACAAAUAGAGACAAGAGCUCUGCCCUCCUCUGCUCAGACCAUGCUGUCUGUGCCCACAAUGGACAUUUGUUGACCUGUGACUUCAAUUUGAUAUUGAAAGAAAGUCAGAAUUGAAAAGAUUCCUCAGCCAGCCACAAACACUCAGCAAGCCACUCUAGUCCACCAGCUUCACUGAGGCAGGCUGUUUGUAAAGAAAAGGUGUAAGGGGAGCACCUGGCCACGAGAUCCCCGAAGGCUAAAGGACAUGUCCUGACGGCCUCCCCCAUAUUAUCUGGAAAAAGCAAUCCCAGAUCAGUUACCAAGAAAGGAGACGGUGGUGUGUGUUUGCAAUGGAAACUCCCUCUGGGCAGGCGCAGGGCUCGUCGCCAUCAGCCAGGGAGCCGAGCCUCGGCUGCCCGAGCUGUGGAGUGGGGGUGAUGCUCACCCUGUUUGAUCCCCUCCUGCCCACACUGACGCAGGGGCAGCACGGUCCGGCCACUGCGGAGGGGAGGAGGCAGCGAUGGAGGCAGCAGUGCAUCGGGGAGGACAAAGGGGAGUGACUCGUGCUGUCCUUCUCUGGGCUCCAGACUGGAGCAGUGAAGCCAGACCCGGGGCCAGGCAAGCUCCCAGCCCUGUGACAUCGAUGCUUCAAGAGCUGUCACCACCAGUGAGGGCUGUGCUGGAGCACAGACCCGCUCUGCCCGUUUUGGUGCCGAGGAGAUCCCCUCGUGGCGUUGAUUCCCAGGGAAUCAGCACUGCUGACACAGCCGGUCUGCAGCUCCUGCUCAUCGGAAGGGCCAGGCAGAGUAGGGCAGGGAGGUUCUCUCUGCUACACUUUGGGGAUCACGGACCUGUCCGGCACUAGAUGGUCUUUGCAUGAUGGUUGAAGCUCUUCCCACCAGUUCCUGCUGAAGUUGUUUGUCCUCGAGGCCACCCAGGCACUAUGACAGCCCCAUGUGCUGCCAGCCCCCCCCAGGCUGGCUGAUUGUGGCCUUUCUGCUCUGAAGGUAUUGAACAGCUUGUGAUCACACCAGUCCUGUCUCCAAGGGCUGGCUCAGCCCUCCUGCCCCUGCCUGGGGAUGAGAGACCCAUUCCAGCAAGCUCAGCACUGAGCAGCUCAGCUCCCUGGGACCCUGAAAGGGCUCUCCUGUGACAUCCAGCUUGUACACUCCAGCCCAGGCUGAGGCUGGUGACAAUAUUGCAGAUCCAUGGACCAUUCCCUGGUCCAAAGCCAAGGGACCAGCUGCUCUGACACUGUGUGUGAGCAGGGCUCUCCCUGUGAAUCCCCCUGAGCUGCAGUCAGAGGUGUGACCAGAGUCAUUCUGGCUGGUGGAGGGAGGACAGAUGGACACAGCUCAGGGCCUGUUUUACUCUAGACAGAAGAAUGUUUUUGUGUCUGAGUGGAGCCAAAGUCCCAAAGCCACCUGGAGCUGCUUGAGCUGUAUCUCCACGGUAAACUUUGGAGUUUCCCACUUUGGAGUUUCCCACGUUAUUUUUUCAGCAUCUGUCUUCCAGGUAGCAGCAGCUGUUGCAUUUUCUCACGUCUCAUUGUUCGGUGUGGCAACACGAUCACACCCUGUCUGCUCAUUCCUCUCCCCUCGCUGAGCAUGGCACAGCCAGCAGGGACUCACAGGUACUUUCUGCUGACUCUGGGCAACAAACAGCGGCUCCCACAUUCAUCCUGCACCCACACCUGCUGCACCCCCGGGGCCAGGUCUCCAGCCAGAUGGGAAUCCCAGCGUGGGGACACCCGUGACGUCAGUGGUGGGGUGAGGCAGGUACCGGCAUUGACUCGUGCUCAUGGAAGGGAAUUGCGAUUUGGUCCCUGCUCUGGGGUGCGGCCACUCACUCCAAAGGACCCCGGGGGAUGUGACAAACCUGCUGGUGGUGACAGGGGCUCCACCAGCCCUGUGACUGCUCCAUGACAGCCUCUGCCAGCAUUUAGUGCCCUCCUGUAUCCAGGCCUUGUCCUGGCCCCUGAUCACAGCCCCGAGGAGCAGGAGGAUGGGCAGGAGCACGGAAACAGCCCCCGCCACGUGUUCUGGUCCCCACCCGCCCUCCCCUUCUACUGCUCCUCGAGGGCUGAUGGUCGUGGCAGGUGUUGCCUGUGAGGCUCUGCCAUGGCCUGGCUGCAGCAGGGCCUGCUCCCCUUGUGCACUUGGGGGACGAUGGGGCCAUAUCCCAGGAGGCCACUGCAGCUACUGGGAGGGGAAGGGGCUGCCCAGCCUUGUGCUGGGGAGAUGUACCCCAGAGCAGCCCCUGUAACCAGGCUGCACUGUCGCUUCCCACACGAGGGUAAGGACUUGGCUGCUCAUUAAUCUGUACUUGGCAGAGAGUUUUAUGAAGUCAUUAACAAGACUGAAACAGUCAGUGCCUACAAGAAGCCCCCAGCAAUAAACCUGCCCAGCCCUCCCCAGCUCCCCCGAGGACCUGAGCCCCCCACCCAUGGCCCCACUGCAGCCCCCACCUGACCCCACUCCCGCUCCUGCUCCCUCGCAGUGCCCGCAGUGCUCCUGGCCCGGGGCCAUGCUCCACCCGGGAGCUCUAAUGACACUAAUGAUUUUCUGAACACGAGUUGGGAGUGCAGAGCCAAGGCCCGUCAGCCGUGUCUGCUGGGAGGUGAAGGCCUGCCCGGGCCUGGCACACGCUGGUCCCGCUCUAGCCCGGAGCGCGGCGGAUCCUGCGAUACGUAACUGUAAUUACGGGCCCUGAUCAGCUUCGCCUCUGUUAUUAUUGUAUUAAUCCGAACCGCUGGCUCAGCCUGGCACUGCGGGACCAGUGAUGCUCGGGAUAAAAUCCAUGCCCAGCUCAAUGCACGGAUGUGGGUCUGCACCACCGGGGCUGGGCUGA